rnacentral:rRNA from 1 species
GAGGGAAUAUUAGUUAAUGUGCGAAAGCGCGAACUAGCAACGCCGUGUGUGCGAUGAAGGCCUUCGGGUCGUAAAGCACUUUUCUAAGGGAUGAGGAAGGACAGUACCUUAGGAAUAAGCAUCGGCUAACUACGUGCCAGCAGCCGCGGUAAAACGUAGGAUGCAAGCGUUAUCCGGAUUUACUGGGCGUAAAGCGCGUGUAGGCGGUUUGGUAAGUUGGAUGUGAAAGCUCCUGGCUUAACUGGGAGAG